rnacentral:lncRNA from 1 species
GAGUUGACUUCAGUAAAAUACAAGUCGAUGCUAAAGAUAAAGAGGAAUUAAAAUUAGUCAGUUUUUGAGUCAACUCUAGUUUCUCAUGAGUUGACCCCAAUAGCAAUUGAGUUGACCUCAAUAGCAGUUGAGUUGACCAUUGAAUAAAUAUACUCAAGAGUCAAAGAGUUAUUUGAGACACUUUGUCUUGUGAGUCAAAUGUUGACCAAUACAACUCAACCAUUAAAGAUCAAGAGCCAGCUCCUUUGUGUCUGACAGCUCAAUAACUAGU